UUGUUUAUAUUGAUGAUAUUAAAAUAUGAUUGUAUUAUUUGUAAUACAUUUUUCUUUUUUCUUUUUUUCCCAUCCUUGCUUCCUGACUUGGCGUUGCAUGCAUGAUUUUGCAUGUGUUUGCAUGAGGAGACCCAACGUUGAUACCAGGAGUGGUCCUCAGUUGCUCAAACACCUCACUCAUCAAGGAAAGACCUCACAAACCCAGAGCUUGAUGGUUAUCCAUGCUCACUAGCUUUCUCUGAAGAUUCCCUGCCCCAGGUUCCCAGGGAUGGAGUUGUAUGAGGAUGCCACAUCCAUCUGACCUUCAUCAUGGUUUCUGAAGAUCCAAGUUCUUACAUUUGGGGGACAAGGAUUAUUUCCCUAGCCCUCAAAUGUUCCUCUAUGGAUACUGGUCGAUGGUUCAGAGGAACUCCUGGAUUGUACAUUUAAAUAGGAUUUCAAGCGCAGAGCUUUCCUUCUGCUUGCACCAUGCGAUGAAAAACAUCACCAAACUGCAAUCUUACC
rnacentral:lncRNA from 1 species